GAUUAAGAGCUUGCUCUUAUGAAGUUAGCGGCGGACGGGUGAGUAACACGUGGGUAACCUGCCCAUAAGACUGGGAUAACUCCGGGAAACCGGGGCUAAUACCGGAUAACAUUUUGAACCGCAUGGUUCGAAAUUGAAAGGCGGCUUCGGCUGUCACUUAUGGAUGGACCCGCGUCGCAUUAGCUAGUUGGUGAGGUAACGGCUCACCAAGGCAACGAUGCGUAGCCGACCUGAGAGGGUGAUCGGCCACACUGGGACUGAGACACGGCCCAGACUCCUACGGGAGGCAGCAGUAGGGAAUCUUCCGCAAUGGACGAAAGUCUGACGGAGCAACGCCGCGUGAGUGAUGAAGGCUUUCGGGUCGUAAAACUCUGUUGUUAGGGAAGAACAAGUGCUAGUUGAAUAAGCUGGCACCUUGACGGUACCUAAC
rnacentral:rRNA from 1 species